rnacentral:rRNA from 1 species
UACGAAGGAUCCUAGCGUUGUCCGGAUUUACUGGGUUUAAAGGGUGCGUAGGCGGUCUUUUAAGUCAGUGGUGAAAGCCUGCAGCUUAACUGUAGAAUUGCCAUUGAAACUGAUUGUCUCGAGUGCGGUUGAGGUCACUGGAAUGUAUCAUGUAGCGGUGAAAUGCUUAGAUAUGAUACAGAACACCAAUUGCGAAGGCGGGUGCCUAAGCCGUAACUGACGCUGAUGCACGAAGGCGUGGGGAUCAAACAGG